rnacentral:rRNA from 1 species
CCUACGGGGGGCAGCAGUGAGGAAUAUUGGUCAAUGGACGAGAGUCUGAACCAGCCAAGUAGCGUGAAGGAUGACUGCCCUCUGGGUUGUAAACUUCUUUUAUAAGGGAAUAAAACGAGGCACGUGUGCCUUUUUGCAUGUACUUUAUGAAUAAGGAUCGGCUACCUACGUGCCAGCAGCCGCGGUAAUACGGAGGAUCCGAGCGUUAUCCGGAUUUAUUGGGUUUAAAGGGAGCGUAGAUGGGUUGUUAAGUCAGUUGUGAAAGUUUGCGGCUCAACCGUAAAAUUGCAAUUGAUACUGGCAGUCUUGAGUACAGUUGAGGUAGGCGGAAUUCGUGGUGUAGCGGUGAAAUGCUUAGAUAUCACGAAGAACCCCGAUGGCGAAGGCAGCUUACUAAACUGUGACUGACAUUGAUGCUCGAAAGUGUGGGGAUCAAACAGGAUUAGAUACCCCGGUAGUC